rnacentral:rRNA from 1 species
CCCCCCGGUGAACUGAUGAAGGUCUUCGGAUCGUACACUCUGUUAUUAGGGAAGAACAUAUGUGUAAGUAACUGUGCACAUCUUGACGGUACCUAAUCAGAAAGCCACGGCUAACUACGUGCCAGCAGCCGCGGUAAUACGUAGGUGGCAAGCGUUAUCCGGAAUUAUUGGGCGUAAAGCGCGCGUAGGCGGUUUUUUAAGUCUGAUGUGAAAGCCCACGGCUCAACCGUGGAGGGUCAUUGGAAACUGGAAAACUUGAGUGCAGAAGAGGAAAGUGGAAUUCCAUGUGUAGCGGUGAAAUGCGCAGAGAUAUGGAGGAACCCCAGUGGCUGCAGACGAUUUCUGG